rnacentral:rRNA from 1 species
AUUGAACGCUGGCGGCAGGCCUAACACAUGCAAGUCGAACGGUAACAGGAAGCAGCUUGCUGCUUUGCUGACGAGUGGCGGACGGGUGAGUAAUGUCUGGGAAACUGCCUGAUGGAGGGGGAUAACUACUGGAAACGGUAGCUAAUACCGCAUAACGUCGCAAGACCAAAGGGGGGGACCUUCGGGCCUCUUGCCAUCGGAUGUGCCCAGAUGGGAUUAGCUAGUAGGUGGGGUAACGGCUCACCUAGGCGACGAUCCCUAGCUGGUCUGAGAGGAUGACCAGCCACACUGGAACUGAGACACGGUCCAGACUCCUACGGGAGGCAGCAGUGGGGAAUAUUGCACAAUGGGCGCAAGCCUGAUGCAGCCAUGCCGCGUGUAUGAAGAAGGCCUUCGGGUUGUAAAGUACUUUCAGCGGGGAGGAAGGGAGUAAAGUUAAUACCUUUGCUCAUUGACGUUACCCGCAGAAGAAGCACCGGCUAACUCCGU